UGCGUAGGCGGAUUAACAAGUCAGUGGUGAAAACCUGCAGCUUAACUGUAGAACUGCCAUUGAUACUGUUAGUCUUGAGUACGGUCAAGGUAGGCGGAAUGUGUAAUGUAGCGGUGAAAUGCUUAGAUAUUACACAGAACACCGAUUGCGAAGGCAGCUUACUGGACCAUUACUGACGCUGAGGCACGAAAGCGUGGGGAGCGAACAGGAUUAGAUACCCUGGUAGUCC
rnacentral:rRNA from 1 species